rnacentral:tRNA from 1 species
GCGCCCGUAGCUCAACUGGAUAGAGUAUCGGCCUCCGAAGCCGAGGGUUGUGGGUUCGAUUCCCGCCGGGCGCA